UAGAUGCUUGUGCAUGUGUUUCGCCUACAUCACAUGUUAAAUUAGUGUCUAGACUCAUUUUGAAAACAGUACCAAGGUAUGAACUUUUAAGCUUCAUGCACUAGCCAACGCAACCAAAAGUCUGAACUGAUGGAAAGGGCUAGGCAAUCCGCAUAUACACUUCAAAACCCCUUCUCACGUGUGACGCGGAAAGUCAACAUGUGAGGUAUGGCUCAAGAGGCUGACACGGAAAGUCAACAUGUGAGGUAUGGCUCAAGAGGCUGACGCGGAAAGUCAACAUGUGAGGUAUGGCUCAAGAGGCCUAUACAUGGACACAAAGGGGGGAGGGGUGCAGCAGUAUUUUUUUGAUAAAUUGCGGAAGUCUGGACUUGAACUCAAGACCUUAGCUCCAAUACCGUGUUAAGCUUCAUGCACUAGCCAACGCAACCAAAAGUCCAAACUGAUGAAAAAGGCUAGGUAAUCCGCAUAUACACUUCAAUAGACCAAUUGAUUAAUUUAGAAAAAGAUUAACCAAAUCAGCACCCCUACACCACCUAAAUCAAUAAUCAUCACCAACGACAAACAAAACUCUCAAAUGGUCCAGGAAUAUGCUAUUCAAUAACGAUACUCAAGUCUAAUAGACUAAUACAAUGUUGCUUCCACAGCUCGCCUAAUUUUCUUUCUUAUAAAGAGAUUAUAUGCAGUACUUUUCAAUACCCUGUUACACUUUAUUUCCGAUGGGAUUAUGUAAACAAGAUAUAGGUGUGCCUCUGUAACACUGUUGCCCAAAUAACAUUAAGCAAAUCAUGUACUCCCUCCGUCCGGAAAUACUUGUCCUAGAAAUG
rnacentral:lncRNA from 1 species